rnacentral:rRNA from 2 species
CACGUGGGCAACCUGCCUGUAAGACUGGGAUAACUUCGGGAAACCGAAGCUAAUACCGGAUAGGAUCUUCUCCUUCAUGGGAGAUGAUUGAAAGAUGGUUUCGGCUAUCACUUACAGAUGGGCCCGCGGUGCAUUAGCUAGUUGGUGAGGUAACGGCUCACCAAGGCAACGAUGCAUAGCCGACCUGAGAGGGUGAUCGGCCACACUGGGACUGAGACACGGCCCAGACUCCUACGGGAGGCAGCAGUAGGGAAUCUUCCGCAAUGGACGAAAGUCUGACGGAGCAACGCCGCGUGAGUGAUGAAGGCUUUCGGGUCGUAAAACUCUGUUGUUAGGGAAGAACAAGUACGAGAGUAACUGCUCGUACCUUGACGGUACCUAACCAGAAAGCCACGGCUAACUACGUGCCAGCAGCCGCGGUAAUACGUAGGUGGCAAGCGUUAUCCGGAAUUAUUGGGCGUAAAGCGCGCGCAGGCGGUU